CAGCCUGCGUGCUCUGUGGUUUUCACAGGCGAGUUGACAAGAGAGAGCUGCAACAGCGAUGUCUGCAAGCCUACUGGAACCUACAAUAGAAUUAUAAGGAAGCAACACAGUAACUUUGAGAGACUGCUCAGGCAACACCUUGGACCCGACUCUUCUGUUCCAGAUGCAGUGAUGUACAAUAACAUCUGUGCUGGUAUGCUGGAGCGUAUCCUAGCUAUCUUUGGGCGAGAGGCAGGAUACACCCUGAACUGGUUGCUAGCCACCACAGGGGAUAUAUGAACAAACAACCAUUCACACUCACAUCCACAUCAGGGG